rnacentral:misc_RNA from 1 species
CCAAAAGAAGCGCCUGACGAGGAAGAGAACCGUUGCCACCAUUGUCCAGCUCACAAGCCCCUGAUUUAGCGACCGGAGUACCAGCGCACAAAGCAUCAGCACACCCACACCAGUAUGUCACUCCAUCGACACCGCAGACGGGGUCGACGCGGAAGCAAUUGAUUGGACAUGACGCUGGAGCGGUGACUCCAGCGCACCCGCCGCCGCCGCCGCCCUCUUUGCUAGUGAUUUGCUGAAUCACGACUCCAUCUUCAGGCUUGGAUUGCGCGAUCGGCAAGCAGAGAACAAAAAUGGCAACAGCAAGACAUAACAAGGCCAAAAUUGAGAACUUGGACAGCGAUGGAUUCAUCAAAUUAUUUCUUACGUAAACGGAAAAAUUCUGCGGAGGUUAACUGGCGACUCGCCCUAACCCUAGCUUGUCGAGGAGGCUAUUGGAUGAAUAUAGGAAAGGAAUCGAAAGCAAAGGAUUUGGAGGAAGAGAGGAAAUUAGACGAUCCGCAAUGAAUCGAUGACAGGGCUGUAGGAUUUGGUAAUCAACAACGGUCUGAAAGGGAACAGACAGACGGUUUGGUCGACCAAUUCUUGGUCGUUUGUGCCAACUGCCUCGUCUAACGGGGCUGAGAGAUUACAUUCCCGUUAUACGCUCGCCCACUGGUGAUUAUAGCCAUUCCUUCCGGCUGGGAAUUGUUCAACGCAUUGGAUCAAUUAAAAAUAGAAAAAUU